CAUCCCUCCGUAAUAAUAAUAAUAAUAAUAAAUGAUAAUAAUGCGUGGUAACGCAAGAGAACGAGAUCAUUAAGUAAUAGCGACAACGUAGUAAGGGAUGGGAACGAGAUAACUAAGGCAUGAGAAUGAGAUUAAGGCAUGUUGAGAUCAUUAAAUCAUAGGAAUUAGAAUUAAGCACGAGAAUGAGAUAAUUAAGACAAGGGAAUGAGAUAAUUAAGGCAAGGGAAUGAGUAAGUAAGACAUGAGAAAGAGGUACUAAGGUAUGAGAAUGAGAUAAUUAAGGCAUGAGAAUAAGAUUAAGGCAUGUUGAGAUAAUUAAGGUAUGAGAAUGAGAUAAUUAACGAAUGGGAAUGUGAUAAUUAAGGUAUGAGAACUUAGGCAAGGGAUUGAGUAAGUAAGACAUGAGAAAGAGGUACUAAAGCAUGAGAAUGUGAUAAUUAAGGCAUGGGAAUGAGAUAAGGCACGAGAAUGAGAAAAUUAAGGUAGGAGAAUGAGAUAAGGUAUGAGAAUGAGAUAAUUAAAGCAGGAGAAUGAGAUAAGGUAUGAGAAUGAGAUAAUUAAAGCAGGAGAAUGAGAUAAGGUAUGUGAAUGAGAUAAUUAAGGCAUGGGAAUGAAAUAAGACAUGGGAAUGAUUAAGGCAUGAGAUUAGUAAGGCAUUGGACUGAGAUCAUUUAGGCACGGGAAUUAGAUAAUUAAGACAUGGGAAUAAGAUGACUAAGGUGUGGGAAUGAGAUCAUUAAGCAUGGGAAUAAGAUUAAGGCAUGUUGAGAUAAUUAAGGCAUGAUAGUGAGAUAACUAAGG
ensembl:lncRNA